UACAAUGUUUUGACCUUUUGUCUUAUUUAAAUUUUUUUGCGAUUAAUAUUUUUAUUCUUACUGAAUACUAAAACAUAAUAGUACUUUAUACGUGACUAAUUUUUUAAAAAAAUUUUAUAAAUUUUUAAAUAAGAUGAAUGGUUAAACGUUAGACACGAAAA
rnacentral:pre_miRNA from 1 species